AUGUAUAUUCCAGAUAUCUGUAGUAUUAUUAGAAUCAUGAGAUUAAAACACAUUUACCUCUCCUCCACUUCUUUGAAGUGUCUCGCAGUCCCAGCGCACUGGCUAGCAUGUUUUGGUUCGUGCAACUGGUCCGUCGGUUUAUUGUCUCCCCAGGAACAUUUCCGUUGUGUCGUUUCCUGUUUCCGUUGUGUCUUUUCCUAUUUCCGUUGUGUCUUUUCCUAUUUGCGUUGUGCUUUGUGUGCUUUUGCAGCGUUUUUCUUUUUGCAGCAUUUUUUCUUUUUGCAGCGCUUUUCUUUUUGCAGGUGUUUUUCUUUUUGCAGCGCUUUUCUUUUUGCAGCGUUUUUCUUUUUGCAGCAUUUUUCUUUUUGCAGGUGUUUUCUGAAGUUGCAGUGCAGCGUUUUUCUUGAAGUUGCAGUGCAGCGUUUUUCUUUUUGCAGCGUUUUCCUUUUUGCAGCAUUUUUCUUUUUGCAAGUGUUUUCUGAAGUUGCAGUCCGUUUGGCCUCUCAGGGCCACUGUACCAUGGGGAAUGAAGGUGUUUAUGACAGGAAAAUUCUGCGCAACUGGAGGAAUUUUCUGAGGAUGAGAGGGCAUGAAGACACCAUGGAGUGGCAGUUACAGACUAUGCAACACAACAAGCAACAGGAUUCUAGCAGUUGCGGAGUUUUGCUGUUAAAGUUUGCAGAACAGUACCUUGCUUUUGGAGAGGUCAGUGAGGUGUUAACCACUACAGAAGCAGUUGUGCUGGAGCGAAUGCAGAUAGCUUGCACCCUACUUGAACAUCGAGGUAAGUCCAGUAAAGUCCUUAUCACAUUAGAGUGUGUACUUCCAAUUUAAAUAGUGCUUUUUAAACAGCACAGUACCCAUCUUUAAGUCUAAUUAAAAAAAUUCAGGGGACUAAUUUGCCAUGAAGUAUUUGUGGAAAAAAUUUACUAUUAUUUUUUAAUUAAUCAAUAAUGUUUGAUUAAAACCUAACCAUGAAUGUGUUUCAGGAAACACUGAGGAUUACUGCAUUGUUUGCUCUAUGUUAGAUGCUGACGCUGACCGCAGCAUGAUUGAAAUGGUAAAACAAAACAAAAGAAAAACAUAAGUCUUAGUAUCAUUACUUGCUAAUCAUGUUUAAAAUGUUGACUAAUAGUAUUCACCAAACAUAAUAUGAGCUAUAUAUUUUUCCUUUCCAGGUGCAGUGUGAAUCUUGCCAAAGAUGGGCACAUUUUGCAUGUGCAAAAUAUAAAGACAGCAACCAAGAAUAUAAAUGCAAAAAAUGUAAGGAAAACACAUUACAACUUCUAAUAAAAACAGCUGUCUUUUCCCCUCCAUGUCUCUUUGCAUUCUUUGUCAACAUUAGAUGAUUGUGUGCUGGAGGCACGUUUUGAUAGUGUGAUUUGGCCAUCUAAACAUCCUACCUAAAGAAAUCCAAGCAGGAAGCAAGUUUUGAUAGAGUGAUUUGGCCAUCUAAACAUCCUACCUAAAUGUUAGGUCUAAACUCAGACCCCGCUGUAUCCAGGACUUAUUCCCAUGAAAGAAAAACAAGGCAACAGUGUUCGAUCGAUUACUUGCGCAAGGGAGGCCUCCUCUGUGUCCAGCACGAAAAUGACCCCGAUGAGGGCCUCCUCUCGCUGGCUUUUAUUGACAAACUUCAAACAAUAGUUUACAAAACACCUCCCCUCGCAACCCCCUUUGGUUACAAAGACAAGGCACUGUAUGUAAAUGUAUAUACAAGAAUGUGGGUGUGUGUGUGUGUGUGUGUGUGUUCUCCUGCUGAUCAAAAGGGUCAUAAAACAUAAAAGCAGGAGAAACAUCCUUGGUCCUAAAGAGGGUAGUCUCCCCCACACCCA
rnacentral:lncRNA from 1 species